UUAAGCGACUAAGCGUACACGGUGGAUGCCCUGGCAGUCAGAGGCGAUGAAGGACGUGCUAAUCUGCGAUAAGCGUCGGUAAGGUGAUAUGAACCGUUAUAACCGGCGAUUUCCGAAUGGGGAAACCCAGUGUGUUUCGACACACUAUCAUUAACUGAAUCCAUAGGUUAAUGAGGCGAACCGGGGGAACUGAAACAUCUAAGUACCCCGAGGAAAAGAAAUCAACCGAGAUUCCCCAAGUAGCGGCGAGCGAACGGGGAGCAGCCCAGAGCCUGAAUCAGUGUGUGUGUUAGUGGAAGCGUCUGGAAAGGCGCGCGAUACAGGGUGACAGCCCCGUACACAAAAAUGCACAUGCUGUGAGCUCGAUGAGUAGGGCGGGACACGUGGUAUCCUGUCUGAAUAUGGGGGGACCAUCCUCCAAGGCUAAAUACUCCUGACUGACCGAUAGUGAACCAGUACCGUGAGGGAAAGGCGAAAAGAACCCCGGCGAGGGGAGUGAAAAAGAACCUGAAACCGUGUACGUACAAGCAGUGGGAGCACGCUUAGGCGUGUGACUGCGUACCUUUUGUAUAAUGGGUCAGCGACUUAUAUUCUGUAGCAAGGUUAACCGAAUAGGGGAGCCGAAGGGAAACCGAGUCUUAACUGGGCGUUAAGUUGCAGGGUAUAGACCCGAAACCCGGUGAUCUAGCCAUGGGCAGGUUGAAGGUUGGGUAACACUAACUGGAGGACCGAACCGACUAAUGUUGAAAAAUUAGCGGAUGACUUGUGGCUGGGGGUGAAAGGCCAAUCAAACCGGGAGAUAGCUGGUUCUCCCCGAAAGCUAUUUAGGUAGCGCCUCGUGAAUUCAUCUCCGGGGGUAGAGCACUGUUUCGGCAAGGGGGUCAUCCCGACUUACCAACCCGAUGCAAACUGCGAAUACCGGAGAAUGUUAUCACGGGAGACACACGGCGGGUGCUAACGUCCGUCGUGAAGAGGGAAACAACCCAGACCGCCAGCUAAGGUCCCAAAGUCAUGGUUAAGUGGGAAACGAUGUGGGAAGGCCCAGACAGCCAGGAUGUUGGCUUAGAAGCAGCCAUCAUUUAAAGAAAGCGUAAUAGCUCACUGGUCGAGUCGGCCUGCGCGGAAGAUGUAACGGGGCUAAACCAUGCACCGAAGCUGCGGCAGCGACGCUUAUGCGUUGUUGGGUAGGGGAGCGUUCUGUAAGCCUGCGAAGGUGUGCUGUGAGGCAUGCUGGAGGUAUCAGAAGUGCGAAUGCUGACAUAAGUAACGAUAAAGCGGGUGAAAAGCCCGCUCGCCGGAAGACCAAGGGUUCCUGUCCAACGUUAAUCGGGGCAGGGUGAGUCGACCCCUAAGGCGAGGCCGAAAGGCGUAGUCGAUGGGAAACAGGUUAAUAUUCCUGUACUUGGUGUUACUGCGAAGGGGGGACGGAGAAGGCUAUGUUGGCCGGGCGACGGUUGUCCCGGUUUAAGCGUGUAGGCUGGUUUUCCAGGCAAAUCCGGAAAAUCAAGGCUGAGGCGUGAUGACGAGGCACUACGGUGCUGAAGCAACAAAUGCCCUGCUUCCAGGAAAAGCCUCUAAGCAUCAGGUAACAUCAAAUCGUACCCCAAACCGACACAGGUGGUCAGGUAGAGAAUACCAAGGCGCUUGAGAGAACUCGGGUGAAGGAACUAGGCAAAAUGGUGCCGUAACUUCGGGAGAAGGCACGCUGAUAUGUAGGUGAAGUCCCUCGCGGAUGGAGCUGAAAUCAGUCGAAGAUACCAGCUGGCUGCAACUGUUUAUUAAAAACACAGCACUGUGCAAACACGAAAGUGGACGUAUACGGUGUGACGCCUGCCCGGUGCCGGAAGGUUAAUUGAUGGGGUCAGCGCAAGCGAAGCUCUUGAUCGAAGCCCCGGUAAACGGCGGCCGUAACUAUAACGGUCCUAAGGUAGCGAAAUUCCUUGUCGGGUAAGUUCCGACCUGCACGAAUGGCGUAAUGAUGGCCAGGCUGUCUCCACCCGAGACUCAGUGAAAUUGAACUCGCUGUGAAGAUGCAGUGUACCCGCGGCAAGACGGAAAGACCCCGUGAACCUUUACUAUAGCUUGACACUGAACAUUGAGCCUUGAUGUGUAGGAUAGGUGGGAGGCUUGGAAGUGUGGACGCCAGUCUGCAUGGAGCCGACCUUGAAAUACCACCCUUUAAUGUUUGAUGUUCUAACGUUGACCCGUAAUCCGGGUUGCGGACAGUGUCUGGUGGGUAGUUUGACUGGGGCGGUCUCCUCCUAAAGAGUAACGGAGGAGCACGAAGGUUGGCUAAUCCUGGUCGGACAUCAGGAGGUUAGUGCAAUGGCAUAAGCCAGCUUGACUGCGAGCGUGACGGCGCGAGCAGGUGCGAAAGCAGGUCAUAGUGAUCCGGUGGUUCUGAAUGGAAGGGCCAUCGCUCAACGGAUAAAAGGUACUCCGGGGAUAACAGGCUGAUACCGCCCAAGAGUUCAUAUCGACGGCGGUGUUUGGCACCUCGAUGUCGGCUCAUCACAUCCUGGGGCUGAAGUAGGUCCCAAGGGUAUGGCUGUUCGCCAUUUAAAGUGGUACGCGAGCUGGGUUUAGAACGUCGUGAGACAGUUCGGUCCCUAUCUGCCGUGGGCGCUGGAGAACUGAGGGGGGCUGCUCCUAGUACGAGAGGACCGGAGUGGACGCAUCACUGGUGUUCGGGUUGUCAUGCCAAUGGCACUGCCCGGUAGCUAAAUGCGGAAGAGAUAAGUGCUGAAAGCAUCUAAGCACGAAACUUGCCCCGAGAUGAGUUCUCCCUGACUCCUUGAGAGUCCUGAAGGAACGUUGAAGACGACGACGUUGAUAGGCCGGGUGUGUAAGCGCAGCGAUGCGUUGAGCUAACCGGUACUAAUGAACCGUGAGGCUUAACCU
rnacentral:rRNA from 1 species